rnacentral:rRNA from 1 species
UACGUAGGUGACCAGCGUUGUCCGGAUUUACUGGGCGUAAAGAGCGCGCAGGCGGUCGUUCAAGUCGAGUGUGAAAGCCCCCGGCUCAACUGGGGAGGGUCACUCGAUACUGAUCGACUUGAAGGCAGGAGAGGGAAGCGGAAUUCCCGGUGUAGUGGUGAAAUGCGUAGAUAUCAGGAGGAACACCGAUGGCGAAGGCAGGUCUCUGGGCCAUAACUGACGCUGAGAAGCGAAAGCAUGGGGAGCGAACAGG